UGCAGGAGUAAGUCUCAUCACAUUUUACUCUGCUAGGGUUUUCCUCCUCAAGCGUCUCUACAUUACCGUAAGCCAUUCUUCUUUCUAGAAUCACCUUCUUCCAUUUCUUUGCUUCUUCCACAUCACAGAAGCUCAAACCUAGGUUUCUUCUUCCUUUUUCAUUUUUCUUCAAAUUUCACCGAUUGUUUUCCGUUUUUGACCGAUUAAACACCUUUUCGAUCUUCCAUUUGCAGCGUUUAAAACACCAUUUUCACCGAUUAAUCGAUCCACUUAGUGAUUCUUCUCGUUUCUAGGGUUUCUUUGGUCUAGGUUACAGAUCUCUGAGUUUCUUUCUGGGAUCUGGUUUGUUCUUUUCUGACUCUGCGUCGAUCUAGAGUGUCUUCCGGUUUCUCUCUCAAUCUAGAGAUUCUUCAACAAUUUCCGCCACGUCCUUCUUCGUCUCUCAUCGGAGAACCUUCGAAGAGUCCAGAUUCGUCUUUGCACAGUCUCAGACGGCCUCUCAUUGGAGCGUCUUCUAUCAUAUGGUAUUCAGAGCUUUGGUUGCGUCCACGCGUCAAAGGAUUCUAGUGGAACAUUUGACUACUGGACCCUGGCAGAAACUUUGCCACGUGGAUUUUGUUUCAUCAAUUCCUGCUUGUCAACAAGAAGAAAUUUUUUCACAAUACAUGGUUUAUGGCCGUCAAAUUUUAACGGCAUACAUUCACGUGAUUGUGAUCCAUUUAACCCUUUAUCUAUUUGUCAGGUAAAUUUUUCAUUUAAAUUUAUGGAUAUAAUAUAAUUUUAAUAUAGUAUUUAAAAGAUUACUAAUUNUUAUUUAUUUUGUUAUUAGAUUUUAUCAAUAAAAACUCUCCUGCAAAAUUAUUGGCCAAAUUAUCGAAGUGAUUCUGAUUUAUGGAGUCGUCAAUGGAAAAUGCAUGGGUCAUGUUCUAACCUUAUUUCUACGAGAAUUUUAUAACUUACUAUGACCUAUGCAUUUUCCAUUGAAGUCUCCAUAAAUCAGAAUUACUUUUACGAUAAUUUGGCCAAUAAUUUUGCAGGAGAGUUUUUAUUGGUAAAAUCUAAUAACAAAAUAAAUAACAAUUAGUAAUCUUUUAAAUACUAUAUUAAAAUUAUAUUAUAUCCAUAAAUUUAAAUGAAAAAUUUACCUGAGAAAUAGAUAAAGGUUAAAUGGAUCACAAUCACGUGGAUGUAUGCCGUUAAAAUAAUUUGACGGCCAUAAACCAUGGAUUGUGAAAAAAUUUCUUGUUGGCAAGCAGGAAUUGAUGAAACAAAAUCUACGUGACGAAGUUUCUGCCAGGGUCCAGUAGUCAAAUGUUCCACUAGAAUCCUGAAACAGAAAAAACACAAUGAAAACAAAAAAUAUUUUUUUCAUUAUGACUGAAUAUUGUAUGGUAAAUGAGGAGAAUGGAUAGAAUGAGUUAAAUGGAUAGAAUGAGGAAAAUCCUUAUGUCUAUUUAUAACGUUUAUUUCAUAUCAUGCACAAAGCCAUGCCUAACUAUAUUUCAUAUCAUGCACAAAGCCAUGCCUAACUAUAUUUCAUAUCAUGCACAAAGUCAUGCCUAACUAUACAUCUCAUGUAGAAAUCGUGCGUCUACAUUAAGUUUUAGAAAGAUGAACUUGGGUUAAUGGGUCCACGUUAUUAGCAGAAGACGUGUUUAUUUUUUUAAUUUAUUUUUUUAUGUAUUGCUUUGAAACUAUUUUGUAUUUUAUGUAAUUUAAUGUCUAAUUAUUUUAUUUUAAAAGCACUUAAGUUAUAUUUGAAGCAUAUUAAAAUUAUUUUUAAUUAUAUUUUUAUGAAUAUGAAUAAGUUUGUAUAACUAGCGAUGGAUACAAUCUAUUAAAAUUGAAGUCAUUUUAAAUGCAAAUUAUAAGGACACAAUUUCCUUUAACAGGAUUAUUACCAGUGUCGAUUUAAANAUUUAAAUGAUUUAAAAGAAAUAUAUAGAAAUUAAAGAGUAAAUAUAAAUUAAGGAAAAAAAAGAUAAAGAGAGAGAAAAUAAAAGUGAGAAUAAAAGAAGAGAUAUGUGUUAUCUUUUUGGAUGUGAGAAAAAACAUCUUUUUAUAGGUGUAACGUUAAAAAGAUGUGCAACGUUAAAAAAAAUUGAUUGUAACAAUAUAGUAUAUUCAAAAGUUAUAAAUGUCUGGACACAAACGAUCCCCCAACUACAUCAACUGUCCUACAAUCGGUAAUUGUGGUAAUAGAAUAGCAUUAUUGUAAUAAUUUGUAUUGUGAGUCUUCUACUACAAAAAUAAUGUAAUAAUGUAAUUUUUUGCAGUUUUAUAAUAAACGUUCUGAGUAUUGAAAUAUAUAUCAUCUCCCCUGAGUAAUGUUACCUCGGUCAGAAAUGGGCUUUUAUGAAGAAUAUACAAAAAUGACUAUUAAAAACAUUACAAAUUUAAUUUCUUACUAUUGCAUUUCACUAUUAAAAUCACUCCAUAGAGCACUACAUGUGGACCAAAUUAAACCUUUUACAUGAAUUAUAGUAUGACAUAAGGUUUGACAAAUUAAACCUUUUGUAUUAAAACUGCUAGUUUAAAAUCAAUUUGUCAAUACACCAAAUAUUAAACAAACUAUUGCCACAUCACCACCCCUGCCACGUCACCAUAUUCUUUAACCUUCAGAAACAGAAACCUUAAUCUGGCAAAAACCCUAGCCGUCGUUCUACUUCCGCCAGGCCAUAAGCCGUCGUCGUCACCACCAUGCACUACCAUUGCGAGUCCUUCACGCCGUCGUCGCACAGUAACCACCGCCUUCAUCAUCGCGCCACCAUGCCUUGCUUCAGGACACCAUCGAACUGAAUCAUCUUCAUGCCAGAGAAACCAGGACCACCAUCCCCACCACGCAAGGGGAAGACUUUCUCUUUAAACAAGAUAAAUAGGGCGUUCAUCUUCACGGUGGUCCUGUGCAAACGACAGUGGUCAGCUGCUAGUUAAGGUGUUGCCCUUUGGCCUCCCUUGAAAAACGAGAAGCAGAAUUGAUGUGAUAAGUAGUUGAAACAAUCAGAAUUGAUGCUUAAGUAGUUGAAACAGAUCAAUGCAGCAAUGAAGAAACUCAAUUAAGCAUCAUUCAGAACACCAAAACUAGCAGAACUAGCAGUUUCAAAUUGUCAUUAAAAGAACCAAACACAGUCAGACUUAGAUUAAACAAUAUGGACAAGAGUAUCGUGAUGCAAUACAGAAAUUGGUAUUAAAAUAGUGUUGAUGCAAAAAUGAAGAAGUGCAAAAUGCAAUCAGAACAAUAUUGAUCCUGGUGAUUCAGCAAACAAUUUAGAACUAUAUUGAAUGCAAUAGCAACUUAAACACUCGCAGAUGCUUCAAUAUGAUCAUUUAAACUCCUUUUCCUGCACAAUGAACAAUCCAAACAGUGAGCAACACAGUUAAAACUAAAUCUCUCUCAAAUUGCCAAGAAAAUAGGCCAAGUCAACUCACAAAUCUCUCAUCACUCAGGCUUCUCUUAAAAAUUUUAAAGCACACAAAUGAGGGUUUGGAAGGGAGAUUCUCCCUUGUCAGUUUAAGGUUGGAGAGUCUUUUAGACCACCACCACCUAAGAGGCUAACAAACACACAAACCUUCUUUCAAUUUUCAAGAAAUCCAAAGUGAAAGAGCUUCUCAAUCAAGAAAUUGAUAUGCUAAGCAAUGGGCAGAUAGAACAGAAAGGACAGAACAACUACUAAAGCACAGAAAUGGACAACACAGUACAAAGGCACUCUAGACAGACUCUAGAAUAGAUGAAUAAAGCAAAGAAAAAAUCCAAUUAGGAACAACAGAUCAGAAUACACGUGAAAUGAGACAAAACCAGAGUUAUCAACCAAGACAAGCAAUGAACAAAGCUUUGAAGAAAGAAGGCACUCAAACAGAACCUAUGAUUGGCACUAGAACAGAUUUAAAAACAAUAAAAAGACAGCAAGAAGCUGCUGAAAUGUCUAGGAUAAACCCAGUCCCAGUUUCCAAACUCUGAUUCUGUGUUUUUAGUUUUUUUAAAAACAUGAAUUGCACAGGCCUAUUUGGCUUUUCAGAACUUUUAAUUGAACUUCCUUUUUUUUUAAUAAUGACUGUUUUAUGCUGAAGAUAAUAUGACCACUCCUUUUGCUACAAUCCAAUUAUGAUGCUCAACCAGAAUCAGAGAUAGAUACACUAAUGAUGCAGCAACUUGUGAAUGAAAAAUGCCAAAAGUUUGGUGGUUUAAAGAGUGAAAAUGCUUAGGACAACUAUAACUCGUGGUUUCUUUGCAUCAUCAAUUUCAAGUAACUAAAACAACCUUGUUUGUAAAGCAAAUGGAUGCAGAAACACACUAUCUCAGAAUUUCACUUAGUCAGCCCCCAAAUUACUCAAUGUAUGCAAGUUAACCAACCAAAAUUUGACUCAGAUAUUGAAACAACAUAUGAACAAAUCACGGGACUCAAAACAGUAAAGAAAAGUUGAACAAACACUAUCAAAUUAAUGGAAGAUGUCCAGCAAUGAUCUAAUGCUAAACCAAAUUAAGACAAGCAAAAGCUGGACUCAAACAAGAAAUGCAUAUCAGUCUACUGCAGAACAAAGAAUUUUCGCUGUGACUUUCACACUAACAACCAAGCUAAUGCUAAGCAUAUCACGGCUUUUUCUGGUUGGCACUUUGUUACUAGUCAUCUCAGCAUUCCAACUCAGAAAUUAAACACCAAACAGUUUCAGGUUUUAGCUUCAAACAGUUUAUUAAACCAAAAUUUCAAUGACUGCAUCCGAGCUUACAAAAUCUCAGUAGUUUUAAUUUCCUUUUCAGAAUUAAAGUUGAGAAUUUGAUGUUUGAGAAUCAUAUAAAAAAGAAUUGAAUUUCUACCCAAACCACAAUUAGUUUCCCCUGUCAACUUCACAGAAUGGGUUGCAUCAAUAUCAAUAAAUACGUUAUUUGUUGAAUAUUGAAGUGUUCUUAGCUUGGGGCUCAUUAAUAUUUAUAACGUACCAAGUCUUCUUAGCUUGGGUCUCAUCAAUGUCAAUAAAUACGUUAUUUGUUUGAAUUUUCAAGUCUUCUGAUCGUAAAAUAUGGGUUAGAAAAUUAAAUACCUCAAUCACAUCAAUACAUUAUUAUUAGUUGUGGAAAAUAUAAUAUAUAAAAAAAGAAGAGUUCCACCAUGCAUAAAAUUUUGAGAAACGCAGGAAUCUCUCUGUUUUCAAUAUAUUUAAUCAUUCCACAACCUUGACAUUCAGGAUUUACAAAUUUGGUUUUAUUUUUAUUACAAAAUAAAUUCUAAACUCAUCAAUUUAAUUUUAUAAAUCUAUUUAUACUAUAAGUUUUAAACCACUUAUAUCUUAUAUUUCUUUAUUUAUAUUUAUACCAUUCUAAGUCAUCGUUCACUAAGAUAAUCUCUUUUUCGUUCAUUAAACAAAAUAAUUCUCUAUAUACUGGGUUGUCGAUUCGUUAGAUGUUUGUAUAUAUUCCUUUUAUAACUGCAAUUCCUUUUCGAAUAUACUCUUAUUUACAAACAUUCUGGCUAAGGCAAUCAUAGAUACAAAGUACUUAAGUUUUUAAUUUCACAACAUGUACUUUAUGUGAAUUGAAGCUGAUUAGUUUAUUAAGGGGAUGACAUACUCAUUUUGUUACUGUUGGAGUUUGAUUUGAUGGAUUGAUGUUUUUUUUUUUUAGCUAUUAUUUAUUACGUUUUAUAUUAAGAUAUAUUUCUUCAUAUAAAUGUGAGGUCAACAAUUUAAUAACCUAUUGAGUAAAUGAGGAUGCCUGUAAGCCUAAAAGAACAAUAUCAGGGUUCAUUUUGUAGAGUUUUUUUAUUAUUAUUAUUAUCAUUGUGAACUAUUCUUUUAUGAUAAUAUAAUUCCUUUUCUUUUUUCUCUCGGCUAGUGCUAAAAAUCUCUUAGGUGUUACUCCCUACACUUCCACGUAAUGUUCCUUGCACCUCCUUUUUCGCUUUUUGCCCUUUCUUCUUAUUGUAAUAUUUAAAAGCGUCCCGAUAUUCUAACACCAUUCCAUUUAACACCAUUUUGACACUCUGACGUGGCAGGCAACGAUUGGUUGUUUUUUUUUUAAAAAAAAUGUCAAAAAGAAUUGAAAAAAUAGGAGCAGAUUUGAAAAUUUGAUUUCCUCUUUUGCCCUUGCCCUGUUUCAUCAGAGAGAAACGUUUUUACAGUUCUCAUUUCUCCAUUUCACACCUGUUUCCUCUUUCCGGUUUGGUUGUGGUCGUCGCUCUUCCCCAUCUCUGACCCUAUCAUCUUCGUUUUGUUGUUCGAUUUCGUUGCCGGCGAGGCUAUCGUUGUUCGACGUUCGUGGGCGUGUUUGAUUUCUUCGAUCUUGGUGUGGUUUUGUCCUCCCUUUGUUUCGAAAUGGCAAGUAAUUCGAGUAAGUUGACGGUUAGACACUCAUUUUCUACUCACUAUAUAUCAACUCUGACGAAGGAACUGACACAGGAGCAAAGGUCAUUGAUUUGUGGGACUCCUUUUGGUUGGUUCGUAGAGGUGAGUGAAAAAGUUAGAUUGGCUAGGAAUAUUUUGAGUGAAUUAGUUGUGAAAUGGGAUGACUGUAAUGGUUGUUUUGUAAUNGGANA